rnacentral:rRNA from 1 species
ACUCCUACGGGAGGCAGCAGUGGGAAUAUUGGACAAUGGGGGAACCCUGAUCCAGCCAUGCCGCGUGUGUGAAGAAGGCCUUCGGGUUGUAAAGCACUUUCAGUGGGGAGGAAAGGUUGAUGGUUAAUACCCAUCAGCUGUGACGUACCCACAGAAGAAGCACCGGCUAACUCCGUGCCAGCAGCCGCGGUAAUACGGAGGGUGCAAGCGUUAAUCGGAAUUACUGGGCGUAAAGCGCAUGCAGGUGGUUUGUUAAGUCAGAUGUGAAAGCCCGGGGCUCAACCUCGGAACUGCAUUUGAAACUGGCAGACNAGAGUACUGUAGAGGGGUGAGAAAUUUCAGGUNUAGCGGUGAAAUGCGUAGAGAUCUG